CGCGAUCGAUCAGAGUUUGAUCCUGGCUCAGGAUGAACGCUAGCGAUAGGCUUAACACAUGCAAGUCGAGGGGCAGCAUUAUUUUAGCUUGCUAAGAUAGAUGGCGACCGGCGGAUGGGUGAGUAACGCGUAUGCAACUUGCCUCUUAGUGGGGAAUAACCCGGAGAAAUCCGGACUAAUACCGCAUACACUUAGUUAUCCGCAUGGAUGAUUAAGGAAAGAUUUAUUGCUAAGAGAUAGGCAUGCGUUCCAUUAGUUAGUUGGUGAGGUAACGGCUCACCAAGGCAUCGAUGGAUAGGGGAGCUGAGAGGCUUAUCCCCCACAUUGGGACUGAGACACGGCCCAA
rnacentral:rRNA from 1 species